ensembl:antisense 4933431E20Rik RIKEN cDNA 4933431E20 gene
GCAGGCGCAGCUGCUGCGGCUCCUGAAAUCCUCCGGUGUGAACUUCUCCCAGGGCUGUUGAUGCUUCAUCUACUCUUCUGGCAGUGGGGGCCUGGACCUUAGUUACCCGGGGUGCGUGAGUCAUGUUGCACAGUUGAGCUGGCACAUAAAACUACGAGUCACACCAGAAGAGGGCAUUGGAUCCCACUAUAGACUGUUGUGAGCCACCUUGUGGUUGCUGGGAAUUGAACUCAGGACCUCUGGAAGAGCAGUUGGUGCUCUUAACUGCUGAGUCAUCUCUCCAGCCCCAGAACAAGGAAUUGAAGCUUGGAGAAGAUUGAUGGACCACUCAAGUUCCCUGGAUGGUCCAGGAUGCAGACUGAGGAUGGCCUAAAACAUUAGUUUUGCUGGCUCCCUGUGCUUGGCUAACCUUAGAGCCUCUUACCUUGCCACAGUCUUUUCUAUGAAGGACAGAGAGCCAAGGAGUGGACCAACAUGCCUGAG